rnacentral:rRNA from 1 species
CGCCCUUAGAGUUUGAUCAUGGCUCAGGAUGAACGCUGGCGGCGUGCCUAAUACAUGCAAGUCGAACGAAAAGAUGCUUGCAUCUUUGAGUGGCGAACGGGUGAGUAACACGUGAAUAACCUGCCUUAUAGUAGGGGAUAACAUUUGGAAACAGAUGCUAAUACCGUAUAAAACAAUUUUGCAUAAAAUUUGUUAAAAGGCGUUCGCGUCGCUAAAAGAUGGAUUCGCGCUGCAUUAGUUAGUUGGUGAGGUAAAGGCUCACCAAGACGAUGAUGCAUAGCCGAGUUGAGAGACUGGUCGGCCACAUUGGGACUGAGACACGGCCCAAGCUCCUACGGGAGGCUGCAGUAGGGAAUCUUCCACAAUGGGCGAAAGCCUGAUGGAGCAACGCCGCGUGUGUGAUGAAGGCUUUCGGGUCGUAAAGCACUGUUGUAU